CACGCAAGUUAGGGCCUCGAUUCAUCGGGCUGUUUGAGGUGGAGGCGAUUGUGAACCCGGUUGAUGUCAAACUCCGCCUCCCACCUACUCUCAAGGUCCAUCCAUGUUAACAUUAGCCAACCACGCUGUAUGUGGCCGGUCCUUAUAAGAAGGGAAGCACAAAAGAUUUGGGAGGUGGUGACUUUGACAACAGCACUUGACAAGAAUAAAGUCUUUAU